AACUUUGCUCAGAGGCAAUAUCGUAACCAAUGAGGUUAAUUCGAGGUGCGAUUAUUGCUAGUUGAAAACUUUGGUCAUAAAAGGGUUUUUUUCUCAAAGCUACUGCUAGUCAUGUCAUAGACAGAAUGAAUUUAAUACCAAUUUGUGAAGGCACUGUUUCAUUCACGAGAAAUCGUACAAACAUGUG